UUUGGAGCGGGUUUAGCUAUGGGUUCGGGGUCGGUACCUAUAUACCUGUUACCCGUCCCAUACCCGUGUUUUGAAAUUGGGGAAAACCCAUACCCAUACCCAAACCCAGUCAAAACGGGGAAAACCCGUCAAAUUGGGUUUGAUUCGAGGGGUAACCGUGUGUAUGGGUUUUGUUGUCAUGCCUAAUGACAACAAGAUUAGCAAGCCUCAAAUGCUCAAAUUCAUAUAUGAUAUUCUUUGGUUAAAACCAAAGAAGUCAAAUGAUUCCUUCUUUCACAUGAGAUAAUUCCAUUAUGUUUGUGCAACAAGGAAAUCCGUGAAAAAUUAUUAAAAAUUAUUAACUUUUCUAUUAUUGUUUUUAAAAUUUAUUUUUACAAAGUAUUAUGUUUAUAUGAAUUUUACUUGGUUGAAAUUUCGUUCUUAAAUUCCCUUGCAUCCACUUUUGUUACCAAUAUCUACUAAUGAAAGUUCUAUAUCUAUCGUUGGGAUAUUUAUAAUCAAGAAAAUGUUGUUAGACAAUGUUGGCUUGAGAAAGUCAAUUGUAUUAGGAUCCAAAAGCAUAAAAAGUCAAUUGCUUAAUGAACUUAAAAAGUCAACUGUUUAUUAAUGGGAUCGGAGGGAAUAUUUAGAUGACUUUGACUUGAAAAUUGUCACAUAAACCGGGAGUUGCCAAUCAAAUAGUGUUUUGGUUCAUCAUUUAGUUUUAGUUUAUUUCUUCUCUUAUGCAAUUUAAGAUUCAGUGAUCAAUUUCACCUAAUUUUCAUCUAUACCAUCCAUGUCUUCCUUCACUUCCUCCACCAAUAUCUGCCUGGAAUUUGAAUCCAUAUUUACUACCGAUCCAAGGAAGAGAAGGUACAAUGUGUUCUUGAGUUUCUACGCUCAGGACAAAGGUUAUUUUCUUUCGAAUCUCGAAGAGGCUCUUAGUUUAGAAGCUGGUAUCGAUGUUUUUGGGGUCAUUAAGAGGUUUCAACAUGGAGAACGGGCAGAGUCUGUGCUGAAUGUAAUUCAAGACUGCAAAGUCGCUAUAGUCCCAGUGUUCUUCAAAACAGGGUUGUGCAAAUGCAUAGAUAUCCAAGGAAACAUAAAUUCUAAACAUUAGAUAUGUGUUCAGAAGGACUAAAAAGGACUUCAGAUUCAUAUCUGAUGCAAUCUCAAUAACAAAUAGGAUUGAAGAACAACAUUGACCAAGUAAGUAGGAGGUCAAAUGCAAAUCUCAUGUGAUAAAAAUGACUUUAAAAUAGACAUUAGAAAGCACUUCAGAUUGCAGAUUAGAUAGAUUUGAAUGGAAGAUCAGAAGCACUUAAAAAUGGCUAGUUCAAAGAAGUUCAGAACCAGAGUUCAAAACCAAUCUCAUCUAAAAAGUCCAAGAUCAAAUUUGAAAUUAGUUUGUUAAUGAUAAAUGUUAGUUUGUUAAUUUCUUUUUGAGGGAAAGUGUUAUUAUGUUGAUUGUUAUGUUGGUAUUUUUCUCUUGUAACAUCCCAUACGACUUUAAAUAUUGUCGACUUGUCCCACAAACUAACACAAGUUUUUUCAACAUGUUUUAUCAUCA